rnacentral:rRNA from 1 species
AACGUAGGGCGCGAGCGUUGUCCGGAUUUAUUGGGCGUAAAGAGCUCGUAGGCGGCUUGUCGCGUCGACUGUGAAAACCCGCGGCUUAACUGCGGGACUGCAGUCGAUACGGGCAGGCUAGAGUUCGGUAGGGGAGACUGGAAUUCCUGGUGUAGCGGUGAAAUGCGCAGAUAUCAGGAGGAACACCGGUGGCGAAGGCGGGUCUCUGGGCCGACACUGACGCUGAGGAGCGAAAGCGUGGGGAGCGAACAGG